rnacentral:rRNA from 1 species
AGAGUUUGAUCCUGGCUCAGGAUGAACGCUAGCGACAGGCUUAACACAUGCAAGUCGAGGGGCAGCACAGGUAGCAAUACCGGGUGGCGACCGGCGCACGGGUGAGUAACGCGUAUGCAACUUGCCUAUCAGAGGGGGAUAACCCGGCGAAAGUCGGACUAAUACCGCAUGAAGCAGGGGCCCCGCAUGGGGAUAUUUGCUAAAGAUUCAUCGCUGAUAGAUAGGCAUGCGUUCCAUUAGGCAGUUGGCGGGGUAACGGCCCACCAAACCGACGAUGGAUAGGGGUUCUGAGAGGAAGGUCCCCCACAUUGGUACUGAGACACGGACCAAACUCCUACGGGAGGCAGCAGUGAGGAAUAUUGGUCAAUGGGCGUAAGCCUGAACCAGCCAAGUCGCGUGAGGGAUGAAGGUUCUAUGGAUCGUAAACCUCUUUUAUAAGGGAAUAAAGUGCGGGACGUGUCCCGUUUUGUAUGUACCUUAUGAAUAAGGAUCGGCUAACUCCGUGCCAGCAGCCGCGGUAAUACGGAGGAUCCGAGCGUUAUCCGGAUUUAUUGGGUUUAAAGGGUGCGUAGGCGGCCUUUUAAGUCAGCGGUGAAAGUCUGUGGCUCAACCAUAGAAUUGCCGUUGAAACUGGGGGGCUUGAGUAUGUUUGAGGCAGGCGGAAUGCGUGGUGUAGCGGUGAAAUGCUUAGAUAUCACGCAGAACCCCGAUUGCGAAGGCAGCCUGCCAAGCCAUGACUGACGCUGAUGCACGAAAGCGUGGGGAUCAAACAGGAUUAGAUACCCUGGUAGUCCACGCAGUAAACGAUGAUCACUAGCUGUUUGCGAUACAGUGUAAGCGGCACAGCGAAAGCGUUAAGUGAUCCACCUGGGGAGUACGCCGGCAACGGUGAAACUCAAAGGAAUUGACGGGGGCC